rnacentral:rRNA from 1 species
GAUGAACGCUGGCGGCGUGCCUAAUACAUGCAAGUCGAGCGAGCGGACGAGAAGCUUGCUUCUCUGAUGUUAGCGGCGGACGGGUGAGUAACACGUGGAUAACCUACCUAUAAGACUGGGAUAACUUCGGGAAACCGGAGCUAAUACCGGAUAAUAUUUUGAACCGCAUGGUUCAAAAGUGAAAGACGGUCUUGCUGUCACUUAUAGAUGGAUCCGCGCUGCAUUAGCUAGUUGGUAAGGUAACGGCUUACCAAGGCAACGAUGCAUAGCCGACCUGAGAGGGUGAUCGGCCACACUGGAACUGAGACACGGUCCAGACUCCUACGGGAGGCAGCAGUAGGGAAUCUUCCGCAAUGGGCGAAAGCCUGACGGAGCAACGCCGCGUGAGUGAUGAAGGUCUUCGGAUCGUAAAACUCUGUUAUUAGGGAAGAACAUAUGUGUAAGUAACUGUGCACAUCUUGACGGUACCUAAUCAGAAAGCCACGGCUAACCACGUG